rnacentral:rRNA from 1 species
UACGGAGGAUGCAAGCGUUAUCCGGAAUGAUUGGGCGUAAAGCGUCCGCAGGUGGCAAUGUAAGUCUGCUGUCAAAGCGUCUGGCUCAACCAGAUAAAGGCAGUGGAAACUACAUAGCUAGAGUAAGGUAGGGGUAGAGGGAAUUCCUGGUGUAGCGGUGAAAUGCGUAGAGAUCAGGAAGAACACCGGUGGCGAAGGCGGUUCUCUGGGCAUUACCUGACGCUGAGGAACGAAAGCUAGGGGAGCGAACGGG